rnacentral:rRNA from 1 species
UACGUAGGGCGCAAGCGUUGUCCGGAAUUAUUGGGCGUAAAGAGCUCGUAGGCGGUUUGUCGCGUCUGCUGUGAAAACCUAAGGCUCAACCUUGGGCUUGCAGUGGGUACAGGCAGACUAGAGUGCGGUAGGGGUGACUGGAAUUCCUGGUGUAGCGGUGGAAUGCGCAGAUAUCAGGAGGAACACCGAUGGCGAAGGCAGGUCACUGGGCCGCAACUGACGCUGAGGAGCGAAAGCAUGGGGAGCGAACAGG